rnacentral:rRNA from 1 species
CACUGACAUUAGAUACCCGCGUAGUCCCAGCUGUAAACGAUGCAGACUAGGUGUUUGGACGGCCACGUGCCGUUCUAGUGCCGCAGGGAAGCUGUUAAGUCUGCCGCCUGGGAGUACGAUCGCAAGAUUGAAACUUAAAGGAAUUGGCGGGGGAGCACCACAAGGGGUGAAGCUUGCGGUUUAAUUGGAGUCAACGCCGGAAAUCUCACCGGGAGCGACAGCAGUGUGAUAGCCAGAUUAAAGGUCUUGCUAGACGAGCUG